AACGCACGAGACCUGCGGACCUGCGGAGGGAUCAUCAAAGGAUUUUCCUAAAGAAAAAGGGUCCUUAUUACUACUAAUAAGGCUCUUUUUCUCCAAACAAACGAUCACAACUAUUGAAAUAAUAGAGAGAGAUUUGGCUUGGCUUGGAGAAUAACAAGUGUUUGCCUGAUAAUCUAUCUGAUGAUUUGGAAACAAAAAGAAAUACAACUUUCAGCAACGGAUCUCUAGAUCGGAAGAGCA
rnacentral:misc_RNA from 1 species